CGCUGCCAACCUAUCUAUUGCUGCUAAUCUAUCGCUGCUGUCAAUCUAUCUAUCGCUGCUAAUCUAUCUAUUGCUGCUAAUCUAUCGCUGCUAAUCUAUUGCUGCUGUCAAUCUAUCUAUCACUGCUAAUCUAUCACUGCUAAUCUAUCGCUGCUGCCAAUCUAUCACUGCUAAUUUAUUGCUGCUGCCAACCUAUCUAUUGCUGCCAAUUUAUCUACCACUGCCAAUCUAUCUAUCGCUGCUAAUCUAUCGCUGCUGUCAAUCUAUCUAUCGCUGCUAAUCUAUCGCUGCUAAUCUAUCGCUGCUAAUCUAUCGCUGCUAAUCUAUCACUGCUAAUCUAUCGCUGCCAACCUAUCUACAGCGGCGAAUCUAUCUAUUGCUGCCAACCAACCUACCUACCACUGCCAACCUAUCUAUCGCUGCCAAUCUAUCGCUGCCAAUCUAUCGCUGCCAACCUAUCUACUGCCGUGAAUCUAUCUAUCACUAUCAUUACUAGUUCAAAAUAGAACUAGAGCAUAAAUACACUAAACUUCUUUUGAUAGAUAAUGAUUUUUGGUAACACUCAUAGCAUUAUAUCAUCUAUAUAGGGUAAAUCAUGGUCCCAUUUGAUCCCAUUUUACAAAAUGGAACCAAAUGAGACCAGAAUCAGUAAUUUAUAAGAAGAACAUGAUCUGGGACUAGAUUUAUAAUAUAAACAGUGUAAAGUGACUAAUUUAAUAAACACUAUAUGAGACC
rnacentral:sRNA from 1 species